CACUCAAGGCACCCAGAUGCAUGUCAUCCCCGGUCUCGCCUGCAGCCCUGUAGGACCUCAAGGUCCUGGGAGAUCAGGCUUCCUCCUGGAAGAGUGGCUGCAGCUGCGGCACCUUGGGCCUGAUCCUCCGGUCCUCUGAGCUAUCCAUUCACUCCCUGCCCUUCCAAAUUUACUCCCCACCCCACACACACCGGAAGCCUCAGAGCGCAACCUGGCAACCUGCCGGCUCCAGCUGUGCGGGGUUUGCCUUCCUGGGAAACCCUGCGCUCCACCCACCCAGACCAGGCUGGCCUCUUCCAGAAGGCAGUCAUCUUCCCGGGGGGGAAAGAGAGAGAAAUGCUUGCCGGGUUUCCAGCAGAAAGCCGCUGUACCUCCUGUCAGUGCUUCUCUGCAGUGCACACAUCCAAACUCAGAAGCCCAGGCUGUCUUGCCACUAGGAUGUGAACAUUGGAACUGGGUCUAACAAUCAGGUGCCUUGUGCAGGGAUUCUUUUGGAAGUGAGCCAGAAACUACAGUAAAGACUCUUGCCCACGUUUUCCCUGCCUCCUGACCAACCAUGGUGCUUCCCCAUGUGGCCCUGCAUGAUGUGCCAAGCACCCUGUUUCUCGGAGUCUAGAGCCAAUGUAUCAGCACACGACUGAGCGCCAAUGUCAUGUACAACACAUGGAAGGAAAUGAGGAUGCUUCAAAGAUACACUGUAUUUGAUUGUAAUCCUGGGAAUGUAACUAAGGGGCCUCUUAACUUGGACAAAAUGGCUGCCAAAGUGGUGAGCGGGCAUCAUCCUUCCUUACUUGAAGGCAGAGACCAUGAA